UACAGAGGUCUCAAGCGUUGUUCGGAAUCACUGGGCGUAAAGGGUGCGUAGGUGGCGUGGUAAGUCAGAUGUGAAAGCCCGGGGCUCAACCUCGGAACUGCAUCCGAUACUACCAUGCUAGAGUACUGAAGAGGUGACUAGAAUUCUAGGUGUAGCAGUGAAAUGCGUAGAUAUCUAGAGGAAUACCAAAGGCGUAGGCAGGUCACUGGGCAGUUACUGACACUGAGGCACGAAGGCCAGGGGAGCAAACGGG
rnacentral:rRNA from 1 species